AUCUUUUCAGGUCAGACAGUCCAUUCUUGACAUGCUAUAUCAGAAUUCUAAUCCUAAACAGAUCAUACAUGAUCAUUAAUCACUCUGUCUUUUCUCCCAACAGAAAAGACUGUAAACUUAAGACAACUACCAGGGCAAAAUGAAUUGAAGUUGCGUCUGAAAGACAACAUUCCGGUGAAAGACGCUCCACUGCAGCGACCUGUCACCGGAAACACUGGGAGGAAUUCACUUGAGUGCAGCAUUGAAGUUGUUCUGGAGAGAAUCCAUCUACACAACCAUUUUCUAAACAACAGUUAAACCUUCCUGGGAGGCUGUGACCUUUUCCUGCCAAAUCCCAGUCAUGACGACACGUCCUGGAAACUUGUCCACUUACUCAAAGGGUCGCUGAGGAGCAUCCAGCUGUAACCUUCAAGGUAAUAUUAUACUUACAUUUGAAAUCUUUCAAUGUCUUGGAUUCUACACUUCACAAAAAUGCUGAUAUAAUUACUGGGAUGUGUUAAGAGUAAAACAUGUAUUUACAUGUUUUGACUGUAUAACAUUUCAAUUUCCUGAUUAGUUUUACUGAUAACAUCUUCAUUUGUUAGUAUUGUCAAUUACAUUACAACAUGUAAAACUGUGAUUUUACUCAUGUCACUGAAGAUAACUGACACCUAACACCCACACUGAUUGUUAAUAACCUGCCACUAAAAUCACUAAGAAGCUUCCAUUUACUGCAGUAGCUUACUGAAAAUAUCACUGACAUUCAAUUAUUUUAUAAAAGACACUCCAACCACAUUAAAAUAUCAGCGUCUCAAAUUAAUAUUCAUUAUGAGCAAUUUGUGUUUCAUCUGUUUUUCAGCCAGUCCAUCCAUCCAUCCAUUUUCUAAAGAUGCCUUAUACCUACUUGGGAUGCUAUCAGGCACAAAUUGGAUCAUCCUUACAUUCAAUUCUCAAAGAUGUCUUAUACCUUCCUGGAAUGCUGUCAACUAUCCCAGACACAUUUGCCUGAAGCCUAGACAUACUCUGGAUCCUUCACCUUGUGUCCAGCGUCAACUGUUGACCAUAAUUCCAAAUCCCAAAACUUUACAUUUGGGAUGGAAAAUUGCUCUAUCAUCACACUCCAGGUAA
rnacentral:lncRNA from 1 species